UACAGAGGUCUCAAGCGUUGUUCGGAUUCAUUGGGCGUAAAGGGUGUGUAGGUGGCGCCGUAAGUCGGGUGUGAAAUUUCGGAGCUUAACUCCGAAACUGCAUUCGAUACUGCGGUGCUUGAGGACUGGAGAGGAGACUGGAAUUCAUGGUGUAGCAGUGAAAUGCGUAGAGAUCAUGAGGAAGACCAGUGGCGAAGGCGGAUCUCUGGGCCUGUCCUGACGCUGAGGCGCGAAAGCUAGGGGAGCGAACAGG
rnacentral:rRNA from 1 species